GGCCUCAUGUGAUGUAGAAA
rnacentral:rRNA from 1 species